UAAUUUGAAGUUAAUUUACAGAAAUGAAGUAAACUUAUUGAAGAAAAGGAGUAAAAAUAGGUUGUGACUAAAAUGCCAAAUUCAAAUGUAAGGUGAACAGGAGAACGCGUGUAACGAAUGUUCGUUAUCGACAACAUUCAAACAAGAACUUACUAGAGUUGCAUGCAUGAAAACGUGAAUAGAGCAAAGAGCGCACUGCUGGUUUGAGUCUAUGGGUUUAAAGAGAAUUGAGCAGUUAAUAAAUUGUUUGAGUAAAAUAAGGAAGAAGGACAAUAAGUCUUGGGACUUUCAUUUAACAAUGUACUGAUCGAUCCUGAAGAAUUUGGCAAAUCAUUAAGGUUAUUCAAAGUAUAAUAUUACGGAAAUGGGUACCUAAGGCGGUCCGAUCUGGCUGAUUCCGACAGAUGCGAUUCUUUGAAAUACGUCUAAAACUGAGGGACUAUUUUACGUACAAGCGAAAAUGGCUAAAUCAACGCUAUUCUGACACGAUCAGUAUAAAUUUUGAUGAGUUUAUAUCUUCUUCUUGCGGCACUUACAUACUAAGUUAAUAUACAAUUUUGUAUACCUGGAAGUUAUAAAAACAACUAAAGAAACGACAAGUUGUAGCAUUGGCGCAGAAGUGAUUUUCAGCACAGCUUCUCCUGCCUCGGUGGCCGUCUUGAUAUUUUGUCAACAAAAUGAAGGGAACCACGAUUUAUUCUAAGCGAGUUCCGAGGGAAGAGCUUCAAUUUCAUGGAAUAAAUGUACUCGAAGAGGCUGAGAUCCUCUGCUGAGGGGAAGUGAUCUGGCAGUUUGCCGCGUUGAAGUGAAGGAUCUUUAAAAAUGCCUUUCAUAACUGGAGCAUCGCUUAAUUACAUAUCUUAAUGGAUUAACGUAUUGAAAACCUAAAAAAAUUUGAACUCCUACAAUAGUUUGCCGAACGUUCGAUAAUUAAUUUCCUUAUCUCGAGUUUCUUUGUCUGCCAAUCUUGGCUAUAAUCUUUUGUGUCGUCUUUGUUACUCCGAUCACGUUGCAAACUUGCAACGUUCAAUGCCCAGCGCUCAAUUUAUCAGCGUCUGUCAGACAAGUUAAUGCGCGCCAUUUUAUGCACGGCGUUGAUAACAGAAAUUAUUGUGAAUAAAAUCUCAUUUCAUCAUGUCGACAAGUGGGAAAAAAAUUUCCGAGUCUCCAAUACAAACGUAUGCGCACAUAUAUGUACAUAGCUACUGAUGCCAGUUGUAAUCAUAAUAAAGAGUUCAUAUAAUUCAUAGCUAUUUAUAGGUA